UAUCAGUACACGCCCUAGCAAGGUGAAACCGCGAACGGCUCAUUACAACAGCUAUAAUCCACUCGAUCUUGAGCAGUUACUCGGAUAACUGUGGUAAUUCUAGAGCUAAUACGUGAAGCAAAGCUGUAUUCAUUUGGAUGCAGCGCAUUUAUUGGAGCAAAACCAGGCGGCUUCGGCCGUUCACUGUUGACUCAGAAUAACUAAGCUGAGCGCAUGGUCUUGUACCGGCGCCGUGUCGUUCGAGUGUCUGCCUUAUCAACUUUCGAUGGUAGUGUAUGUGACUACCAUGGUUGUGACGGGUAACGGGGGAUAAGGGUUCGACUCCGGAGAAGGGGCCUGAGAAAUGGCCACUACGUCCAAGGAUGGCAGCAGGCGCGCAAAUUACCCACUCUCGGUUCGAGGAGGUAGUGACGAAAAAUAACAAGGUGGUUCUCUACGAGGCCCACCAUUGGAAUGGGUACAACUCAAACCCUUUAACGAGUAUCAAUGAGAGGGCAAGUCUGGUGCCAGCAGCCGCGGUAAUUCCAGCUCUCAAAAUGCAUAGAACCAUUGCUGCGGUUAAAAAGCUCGUAGUUGGAUCUGUGCCGGCACCGUGGUCCACCCUCACAGGCGGUACUGCGUGUGUCGGCUUUGGGCCGGUCUUCGUCCGGGGGCCUUCACUGGUCCGUCGGCCGUGGCUGGCUGGUUUACUUUGAGCAAAUCAGAGUGCUCAGCACAGGCGUUUCGCCGGAAUGUUCGUGCAUGGAAUAAUAGAACAGGAUCACGGUCCUCUUUUAUUGGUUUUGUGGACUGAGAUAAUGGUUAACAGAGACGAACGGGGGCAUUCGUAUUGCUGCGUGAGAGGUGAAAUUCUUGGACCGCAGCAGGACGGACUACAGCGAAAGCAUUUGCCAAGCGCGUCUUCAUUAAUCAAGAACGAAAGUCAGAGGUUCGAAGGCGAUCAGAUACCGCCCUAGUUCUGACCGUAAACGAUGCCAACUAGCGAUCCGCCGGUGGCUACAAGGCCCUGGUGGGGAGCUUCCCGGAAACGAAAGUCUUCCGGUUCCGGGGGAAGUAUGGUUGCAAAGCUGAAACUUAAAGGAAUUGACGGAAGGGCACCACCAGGAGUGGAGCCUGCGGCUUAAUUUGACUCAACACGGGAAAACUCACCCGGCCCGGACACCGUAAGGAUUGACAGAUUGAUAGCUUUUUCAUGAUUCGGUGGUUGGUGGUGCAUGGCCGUUCUUAGUUCGUGGAUCGAUUUGUCUGGUUUAUUCCGAUAACGAGCGAGACUCCAGCCUACUAACUAGUACGAGCAUUGCCUCUGUGCUCGGCACUUCUUAGAGGGAUUGGCUGCGUCUAGCGGCACGAAACGGAGCAAUAACAGGUCUGUGAUGCCCUUAGAUGUCCGGGGCUGCACGCGCGCUACACUGGCAAAGGCAACGUGCUUGUCCGUCUCCGAAAGGAGCCGGUAAACCCUUGAAAAUUUGCCGUGAUUGGGAUCGGAAAUUGCAAUUAUUUUCCGUGAACGAGGAAUUCCUAGUAAGUGCGAGUCAUCAGCUCGCGUUGAUUACGUCCCUGCCCUUUGUACACACCGCCCGUCGCUGCCUAGAACUGAGCCAUUUCGAGAAUAUUCGGGAUCGCCGGUUGCGUGUCUUUCGGGGCAUGCCUCUGGCCGAGAACGAACGUAAUCGCAAUGGCUUGAACCGGGCAAAAGU
rnacentral:rRNA from 1 species